rnacentral:lncRNA from 1 species
UUUGAAUACCAUUAACCCUAUAAUUCAUCGAUGUAUUAUAGUCUUCAAAUGAAUUAGCUAUUUUCUAGGCUCCGAGGGACUAGGAUGUUGGUGUUGUAAUGGCAAUACACAAUCAGAACAGAUCUGAUACAGUGCCUCACAGGUAUCCUGGAAAGCAAGAGGUAUAUACUGUGUACCUGAGAAAUAGAAUUCCAGAAUAAGUGAAAAAGGUCAUAGUGUCAACAGUUUUUCCCUUAAUUUCCUUUC